UAUCAAAAGAAUAUGCAACAUAAGUGAAUUAAUGGUAUAGGAUAUCAUUUGGUAUUUUGUACUUGCUACCAUAAUGUGGAUAGGCAUUGCAAUAAGUACUGUUUAAAGAAAAUCUAUAAUAAUUUACUAUUUGUUUCACAACAACAGCAUAUUAGGUUCUUAGAACAAGGUUCAACUUAUUUUUAUUUUUUUUUGUUUCUCAGCAUAACAGCACAUUAACAUUUUUGAUUGUGCAUAAAAUUUCAUGCAAACUUUUUUCUGUUUUGUGGGAGCCUUCAGAAUUUUUAUGGACUUUACUUUGUUUUGGGGCACUGUAAUUUUUCUUUAGCAGCCCAGCACCUUGGAAUAGUUAUGGGUCUAUCAAAACACAGCAUUUUAAUUUUAUAGGCACACCUAUGCAUUUAAUUCUCUCUCUAAAACUUCUUUUAAGUCCUUAAAGGGUCAUUCCAGACUUGAGGGGGAAGCUACGAUUGCUACGUGUAAAUAAAGCACACAAGCACGAUAUAUUGAACCUAACAGCAAAGUGUUCAUUAAUCCUGAAAUCCAGCCAGGCCACAGAUUCCAAUUCGUAGUUCAUGAGAGCCGCAUCCACCUGUCUCCCAGAGCUUUCUCAUCUCUCACUUGCUCAGGUGUGUGAAUCUCCUGUCGUGAGAUGCUACUUGAUGAUGUCACCAUCCAUGCCCAGCAUCUCUGACUCCCA